rnacentral:tRNA from 1 species
UGGGUCGAUGCCCGAGUGGUUAAUGGGGGUGGAUUGUAAAUCCGCUGACGACGUCUACGUUGGUUCGAAUCCGACUCGGCCCAA